rnacentral:rRNA from 1 species
CGGAGGGUGCAAGCGUUAUCCGGAUUUACUGGGUUUAAAGGGUGCGUAGGUGGGUCUGUAAGUCAGUGGUGAAAUCUCCGAGCUUAACUCGGAAACUGCCAUUGAUACUAUAGGUCUUGAAUUAUCUGGAGGUAAGCGGAAUAUGUCAUGUAGCGGUGAAAUGCUUAGAUAUGACAUAGAACACCAAUUGCGAAGGCAGCUUACUACGGAUUGAUUGACACUGAGGCACGAAAGCGUGGGGAUCAAACAGGAUUAGAUACCCUGGUAGUCCACGCCCUAAACGAUGGAUACUCGACAUUUGCGAUAUACUGUAAGUGUCUGAGCGAAAGCAUUAAGUAUCCCACCUGGGAAGUACGAUCGCAAGAUUG